rnacentral:rRNA from 1 species
CGGACGGGUGAGUAAUGUCUGGGAAACUGCCUGAUGGAGGGGGAUAACUACUGGAAACGGUAGCUAAUACCGCAUAACGUCGCAAGACCAAAGAGGGGGACCUUAGGGCCUCUUGCCAUCGGAUGUGCCCAGAUGGGAUUAGCUAGUAGGUGGGGUAAUGGCUCACCUAGGCGACGAUCCCUAGCUGGUCUGAGAGGAUGACCAGCCACACUGGAACUGAGACGCGGUCCAG